GAUGAACGCUGGCGGCGUGCCUAAUACAUGCAAGUCGAGCGAACAGACGAGGAGCUUGCUCCUCUGACGUUAGCGGCGGACGGGUGAGUAACACGUGGAUAACCUACCUAUAAGACUGGGAUAACUUCGGGAAACCGGAGCUAAUACCGGAUAAUAUAUUGAACCGCAUGGUUCAAUAGUGAAAGACGGUUUUGCUGUCACUUAUAGAUGGAUCCGCGCCGCAUUAGCUAGUUGGUAAGGUAACGGCUUACCAAGGGAACGAUGCGUAGCCGACCUGAGAGGGGUAUUCGGCACCCUGGAAACUGAACACGGUCCAGACUCCUACGGGAAGCAACAAUAGGGAAUCUUCCGCAAUGGGCGAAAGCCUUACCGAGCAAAGCCGCGUGAGUUAUGAAGGUUCUCCGAUCGGAAAACUCUGGUUUUAGGGAAGAACAAAUGUGUAAGUAACUAUGCACGUCUUGACGGUACCUAAUCAGAAAGCCACGGCUAACUACGUG
rnacentral:rRNA from 1 species